GAUGAACGCUGGCGGCGUGCCUAAUACAUGCAAGUCGAGCGAACAGACGAGGAGCUUGCUCCUCUGACGUUAGCGGCGGACGGGUGAGUAACACGUGGAUAACCUACCUAUAAGACUGGGAUAACUUCGGGAAACCGGUGCUAAUACCGGAUAAUAUAUUGAACCGCAUGGUUCAAUAGUUAAAGACGGUUUUGCUGUCACUUAUAGAUGGAUCCGCGCCGCAUUAGCUAGUUGGUAAGGUAACGGCUUACCAAGGCAACGAUGCGUAGCCGACCUGAGAGGAUGAUCGGCCACACUGGAACUGAGACACGGUCCAGACUCCUACGGGAGGCAGCAGUAGGGAAUCUUCCGCAAUGGGCGAAAGCCUGACGGAGCCACGCCGCGUGAGUGAUGAAGGUCUUCGGAUCGUAAAACUCUGUUAUUAGGGAAGAACAAAUGUGUAAGUAACUAUGCACGUCUUGACGGUACCUAAUCAGAAAGCCACGGCUAACUACGUG
rnacentral:rRNA from 1 species